CGGAACAUAUUCUUGUUAAUUAUAAACCCUGAUGUAACUUACAAUAACUUAAUACUAUAAUAUAGGAAAAUAAAACAGGCACCAUUUUAAUCAUAAUAAAAGAACAUAAUCUGGAUGUUACACAAGUUCGAAAUAAGAAAAACACAAUUUUCUAAAAUCAAUUUUAAAUAUAAAACAAUAGAUCUGUCAAGUCCGUGACAGCAAAAAGAAAAUGUUUCCAAAAUGGCAGACUUAAGGCUUGUUAUUUCUAUUUUAGUGAUAAUAAAUAGCGUAAGUUGCGAGAAAGACGAUUACAUCCGUAGGAAAAUGGAAGCACUAAACAAUAGGAGUAAGGAGUUGUAUGGGACAGUCGGAGAUGAUGUUAAAUGGGACAGUUUCGAUUUAGAAUAUUUGAUGUACCCAAGAGGGGACAAACGCAAGCUGUCCAUUUUGUCUCGCGCAUGGCAGGAGUACUACGAGUGCUUGGCGCGGCUGGCGGAGUCCGUGCCACCGCCGCGGUUCCUGCCCAACGUCAUCAGCAUGCUGUUCCAGGGCUCCGUGGCCCGUCUGCCCUGCAACCUCUGCGCGGAGCCCGGCAGUACGGAACAGCUUACAUGGAUUUACUCCAAGGGCGGCGACGAAAUCAACAUAACAGCAGCAAUUGAAGACUUCUCAGACAUCCAGAGCUAUGACCGACUGUCGGUGGAAGGUCGAGUGGUGACCAUAUACAACGUGAUACCGGAGGACGAGGGCGUCUACUCGUGCAGGGACGGAGACACCCAGGGCGGGAUCGUCAUCAUUGAGGUUGUGGACACGGAAAACUAUACCGUGGUAAAACCGACCACGUCCCGGGGCCCCCACCCAGUGGCGCCGGAGACGUACGAGGGGGUGAUACUGUCCACUCAGUGGUCGCAGUGGAGCGAGUGCAGCGUUUGUGACAAGGUGGGCAGGAGACAUCGGUACGGGAUUUGCUAUGUCAACCUCGACCAGAACCUUGUGAGUAACCACGAAAUAUUUUUGGUACCUUUAAAUGUAAUCUUGGAAUAUUUCUGCUACACUACACAGACGUUUUACGAGAUGUAUUUACCAUAUGUCCUUCAGAUAGCAGACUACCUAGUCGACUCCGAGAAGACGACGGCGCGGUUCAAGUUAAUGGAACUGGACAUUAAGCUUAUUGAGCUGUUUCAAGCGUUCCCGGGCGGUGUGCCGUGCCGGUCCCAAUACUUGCCGCAGCCGAUGAAGGCGCUGGACGUUGUACAACAACGACCUAGCGAAAUUAUGAUAGGUAUGUGCAAGGUGCCAUGUAUCGAGAGAAAUCCGUAUGAAAAGCUGGAGAAUUCGAACGACGUAUACCCGGUAAACUACCAGCUACCGAAGCAGCCGCCGCCUCCCGUCACGACCACUAUAUUCGCUACCGUGGGACAACGGAUCACUCUUCGAUGUCCGGGCACGACACUACGCGACGUGCCCAUAUCGUGGCGCGUGGGCAGCGGGGCCGUCAUCGUACCGCGCCAGCUGGCGGCGGCCGGCCGCGGGCACGUGUCGAGCCGGGACCAUCUCGUCAUACACACCGCGCUGCUGCACGACCACAACCUCUACAGGUACACUACUGCCACUGUAUGACCGUGUCGAGCCGGGACCAUCUCGUCAUACACACCGCGCUGCUGCACGACCACAACCUCUACAGGUACACUACUGCCACUGUAUGACCGUGUCGAGCCGGGACCAUCUCGUCAUACACACCGCGCUGCUGCACGACCACAACCUCUACAGGUACACUACUGCCACUGUAUGACCGUGUCGAGCCGGGACCAUCUCGUCAUACACACCGCGCUGCUGCACGACCACAACCUCUACAGGUACACUACUGCCACUGUAUGACCGUGUCGAGCCGGGACCAUCUCGUCAUACACACCGCGCUGCUGCACGACCACAACCUCUACAGGUACACUACUGCCACUGUAUGACCGUGUCGAGCCGGGACCAUCUCGUCAUACACACCGCGCUGCUGCACGACCACAACCUCUACAGGUACACUACUGCCACUGUAUGACCGUGUCGAGCCGGGACCAUCUCGUCAUACACACCGCGCUGCUGCACGACCACAACCUCUACAGGUACACUACUGCCACUGUAUGACCGUGUCGAGCCGGGACCAUCUCGUCAUACACACCGCGCUGCUGCACGACCACAACCUCUACAGGUACACUACUGCCACUGUAUGACCGUGUCGAGCCGGGACCAUCUCGUCAUACACACCGCGCUGCUGCACGACCACAACCUCUACAGGUACACUACUGCCACUGUAUGACCGUGUCGAGCCGGGACCAUCUCGUCAUACACACCGCGCUGCUGCACGACCACAACCUCUACAGGUACACUACUGCCACUGUAUGACCGUGUCGAGCCGGGACCAUCUCGUCAUACACACCGCGCUGCUGCACGACCACAACCUCUACAGGUACACUACUGCCACUGUAUGACCGUGUCGAGCCGGGACCAUCUCGUCAUACACACCGCGCUGCUGCACGACCACAACCUCUACAGGUACACUACUGCCACUGUAUGACCGUGUCGAGCCGGGACCAUCUCGUCAUACACACCGCGCUGCUGCACGACCACAACCUCUACAGGUACACUACUGCCACUGUAUGACCGUGUCGAGCCGGGACCAUCUCGUCAUACACACCGCGCUGCUGCACGACCACAACCUCUACAGGUACACUACUGCCACUGUAUGACCGUGUCGAGCCGGGACCAUCUCGUCAUACACACCGCGCUGCUGCACGACCACAACCUCUACAGGUACACUACUGCCACUGUAUGACCGUGUCGAGCCGGGACCAUCUCGUCAUACACACCGCGCUGCUGCACGACCACAACCUCUACAGGUACACUACUGCCACUGUAUGACCGUGUCGAGCCGGGACCAUCUCGUCAUACACACCGCGCUGCUGCACGACCACAACCUCUACAGGUACACUACUGCCACUGUAUGACCGUGUCGAGCCGGGACCAUCUCGUCAUACACACCGCGCUGCUGCACGACCACAACCUCUACAGGUACACUACAGCAUUCUAUGACACAGACACGAUCCCAUCAUCUAAAACUGCGACCAGCUAUCGAGAAAUGGACGACAACGACUCUAAUUUGCGACUGAUCUGCGAUCCCUAAGCAAGAUGUCAAAUGAUGGCGGUCCUUUCUUUUUCUUCUCUUUGAGAGGAAAGCUUUCUUUCGCCGUGGAUGUAAUCCGGUUAACAGAUGAUGGUGAUUAAACAUCUUUUAUUAUGCAUAAGAAUUU